rnacentral:tRNA from 2 species
GCGCUAGUCGUCUAAUGGUAGGACAUGACCCUUUCACGGUCACGACGUGGGUUCGAUCCCCAUCUAGCGCGCCA